UAAGCUCUUGUCUCCUUCCUAUCAGAAGAGAAGCUCCCUUCUCUUACCAUCCUUUAGGUCACAAGUAACUCCUAUUUAGUAAGGGACAGACAUGCAUGCAAAUGACACAGAUGGAAACAAAUCCAACAAUAGCUUUCAAGGUGAUUGUGCUCAGCUGUUAACCCAAUCCACUUCUCCCUUAUAAGGUGAAAAUCCUUCUCUUCCUUCCAGCAGCCAUUUUCCCUCCCUCUCAUAACCACUCACCGAGGGUUCCCACUUGUCAGAACCCUGGUUGCACUUUCAAACCUGAGCAGUCAGCUUCUCUCCCCCACCAGUAACACUGUGUGACCUUACCUCUCUGCCUCACUUUCCAAGACCUCUCCUCCCAGAUGCCUUUCAGAAAUAAAAGCAUAGAAAGAGGGAAGGCAACCAGCUCUUUAGACCACAAGUAGGAGAGGAUGUAACACAUGUGCAAGCGCCACUGCCUCUUUUCUGGGAGGAAAUCCUUGAACAGCCUCUCCUUCUGGUAGCCAGCUGGCCAAGUGCAGGACUCCAGAGUGGGAGCAAAGUUCUUCUGAAUUACUAUGAGCACUCACUACCAUGUACAUCCUACAGAAUUGCAAGAUGACUGUCACACCACACUAGUGAUGGGCUUUUAAAAUACUUUUUGAUGAAGUAA